GUGGUCCUUACAAUCAGCUAGAGCAUGCUGUCCAUGGAGUUAAUGCAAUCUGCCUUCUCACUUACCAAGAAGAGCCCUUGUAGUCAACAGACUGAGUACACUGGCUGUUGGGGAAAAAAAUAGAGCCAUUCCAGGUGGUAGAAGUAAGAGUACUAUGGAGUACUAAGGAUUACUAUGCAGUCCUGGAUGGAAUUUCUUAAAACCCAACUACCAUUAGUAACUGCUCUGAAAUGGAAGACAGAAGAGUGUCUACUUGACCAUAAAAUUGAAACCAAGCUGAGCUACCCACAGACCACACAGGUGACAAUCACCAGGAAUGGCUUCUGGACAUUGUACCGCCACCAAGCCCAUGUUCAUGAAUCCACUGGCCUAAAUGACAUAAUUACAUUGGCGCUGUUUAAU
rnacentral:lncRNA from 1 species